rnacentral:lncRNA from 1 species
AGACAUCCUACUAGACAUCAUACCAGAUACCACUACUAGACACCCUACUAGACACCCUACUACCUACAUCAUACCAGACACCCUACUAGACAUCAUACCAAACAUCUACCACAGACAUCCUACCAACAACCUACCAGACACCCUACUAGACAACCUACCAGACACCCAACUACACAUCAUACCACAAACAUCCUACUAACAUCAUACCAAACAUCCUAACUAGACAUCCUACCAGACAACCUACUAGACAUCCUACUAGAACAUCACUAACCAGACAACCUACUAGACAACCUACCAACAACCACUAACAACUACUAGACACCCUACUAGACACCCUACUAGACACCCUACUAGACAUCAUACCAACAUCCUAACCAAACAUCCUACCAGACAUCCUACAACACCUACCAGACAUCCUACAGACAACCUACCAACACCCUACUAGACAACCUACCAGACACCCAACUACACAUCAUACCAAACAUCCUACUAGACAUCAUACCAAACAUCCUACUAGACAUCAUACCAAACAUCCUACUAGACAUCAUACCAAACAUCCUACUAAACAUCCUACUAGACAUCCAACUUAACAUCAUACCAAACAUGCUACUAGACAUCCUACUAGACAUCUAGUCAAAGUAAAGUAGGUUAUAGAUGUAGUGAAUAUAUCAAACCGUUUUAAAGACGUAGGUCUAAGCUCUUAUGCCACGACACAAUACCAGCUGUAAGGAGCCUUUGGACUCACCCAUGUAGGCUACGACUUGGCUUAUAAGAUUUGUGAAGCAUGUAUGUAGUCUCUUCAUGAAUGCCUUCAUAAAGCCUCAAUAUGGUCAUUAGUUGUCUGUUAAAAGAGGGACUGUAGCAACAGGAGGAACUCUGUUAGAGAUCUGUUGAUAAGGGGCCUCCGUCAACAGAACAGUGUAAUUAACAACAGGAAUGAACCACGGACAGAAUGUUUGUUUCCCGUCUUCCGGAGAGUUCUGGAUGUUUCUGAUUAGUGGUUUACUCGUCGACAGACCUCAUCUUCCCUGACGGACAUACAGGGACACAGCGUCUGGUUGGCCACGGCAACCGACCAACCGCUGUCCGGGGGGAUCCGAGAGUGAGCUGAGGGGUAAGGGGGGAGGCCUAGUCACUUCCUGUCAGAGAGAAAGAAAGGAGCGUGUUCUGAAAGAGGAAGUGUAUUGUUGGGAAAUGGAGCUGAUACCAUGAAAA